rnacentral:tRNA from 1 species
GGAGUUGUGGCUCAAUGGUAGAGCACUUGCCUAGCACGAGCAAGGCCCUGAAUUUGAUCCUCAGCACCA